UCUAUAUAAAUGUUUCUAACAUGCAGGUAACAUUUAUAUAUGUAUUAGUUUGAAUAAAUCUUUUUAAUAAAGUUACAUUAUAGGCAGGAAUGUUUGACUGGAAAUAUAAACGAUGUUGUACAUAAUGCAGAUAGCUUAGGCAAAAAAGAGAUUGGUGAAAUGGAGAAUGAGACUAACUAGGGUGAAAAAAAGUGAAUAUUAAUAUGUGAAUGGUACUUUGUUUAACAUCUACCUGUUUCUACAGAUACAGUACAGACGCAUUUAUAAAUGGGCUUGAUGUUUUUUUGAAUUAAAUAUGUUGUAUUGA